UGAUCUGCUGGUAGAGCGCCAGCAGCAUAAUCAAAAUAAAGCUCAAUGGGU
ncrna:unclassified sequences 6A RNA